rfam:Osedax symbiont Rs1 5221_39, whole genome shotgun sequence.
GCAGUCCUCUGCUUGGUAAGGUUUAGCAGACCGCCGAGACCCCGAGUCAUGAGCAUUGCAUCGUGAGGUGUCGAGUUAAGCGUUGACAGGGGAAACCAUAGGCUGAGUAUUGAGCUGCGCUUAUGUUUUAGAAUAAGUAUCUUUAAGAGUGCUGAUCCGGUUGGGUGUAGGAGAAGGCAAUACGUUAGUUGACGUUAUACCGCGAGUAGGUAAGGCAAGUUAACUAGCGGCUCUUUGUAGUCGUAGACCU